rnacentral:rRNA from 1 species
AGUUUUGGACAAUGGGGGAAAACCUGAUCCAGCCAUCCCGCGUGUAUGAUGAAGGCCUUCGGGUUGUAUAGUACUCUUGGCAGAGAGGAAAAGGUAUCUCCUAAUACGAGAUACUGCUGACGGUAUCUGAAGAAGACGCACCGGCUAACUACGUGCCAGUAGCCGAGGUAAUACGUAGGGGGCAAGCGUUAAGCGGAAUUACUGGGCGUAACGCGUGUGUAGGCGGUUCGGGAAGAAAGAUGUGAAAUCCCAAGGCUCAACCUUGGAACUGCAUUUGUAACUGCCGAGCUAGAGUAUGUCAGAGGGGGGUAGAAUUCCACGUGUAGCAGUGAAAUGCGUAGAUAUGUGGAGGAAUACCGAUGGCGAAGGCAGCCCCCUGGGAUAAUACUGACGCUCAGACACGAAAGCGUGGGGAGCAAACAG